AACAAGGGCUGUUAUGAGUGGCACACAUAGGGCACCUUGAUUGCUCUACAUGCGGAAUCAACAUCAGGAGAUUUCAGAAGAAUAAUUUUUUGGUAUCUGGGCAGCCAGUGAUCAUUGGUCCCAGUACCCAU